GAGAAGAAUGAGAGAGAUAGAGAGAAAGGAGAGAGAUGAGAAGAAAGAGAGAAAAGAAAGAGAGGUAGAGAAAAGAGCAAGAAAAGAAGAGAGAGAGAAGAAAGAGAGAGGAAAGAGAGAGAGAGAGGGAAGAGAGAGAAGAAAAAGAGAAGAGAGAUUUAGCGAAAGAAAGAAAGCGUGAGAAAAAGAAAGAGAAGGAGGUGGGGGGAGAAAGAGAAAUGCAAAAUUGUGUGUUCUUUAGAAGGUGAAUGUUCCACUGUGUGUAUGUUCCAGGAAGCCAGGUAGCCUGGCGGCUAAGAGCUACAUGAAGAAAAAAAAUACAGCGCACGACUCAUGCCAGAUAAACCGAGUGCCUUUGCGAUGCCCCAGUGCAGCAGGUUUGCAUAGCACACAUACGGGGUGGGCUCUUGAGUUUGGGCGAGAGGACUCGCCAGGGCGUGGAGGACUUGAGAUCUGAUUGGUUGGAGUGGCGGCCUCGCUCUCCGUUGACCAACUGCUCGUUUCGCAGGGCCAUCUCGGCCUCUAGGAUUGGUGGAGUCUGAUCUGGGAGGAGAAAUUGCUGCGCCAGGCUGUCACUCAGUUUACUGUGCUGGAAAGAAACAAGAUGGACGCCACCACAGUACAUAAAAACACAAGGCAACGUGCUGCCUUUACUUGACCAUUGGCUGACUUUCUAUCGUCGACUGACUGACUGUAUUUUCACUAGAGGCGAAAAAACGCAAUUGAGUUAAUUGCAGGAUUUGCUGUGAUUAAAUGCAAGCUCCGAAUUUGUUCAA